CUGUGAGGUAGAGGUUGCGAUAUUUAACAGUCUUUAGUGGAGUUUGAGAAACGUGGAAACUAUUGAGAAGGAAAUGUCGCCGAAGCAGAUGGCAGGCUCGAUGCUGUCUGCUGGGCCUGCAGUUAAGAGCUGCAGGACUGUCUCAAUGGAGAUCCGGUCUGUUGAGUUGUGCUAUCUCGGUU
rnacentral:ncRNA from 1 species